rnacentral:rRNA from 1 species
AUUGAACGCUGGCGGCAGGCCUAACACAUGCAAGUCGAACGAGUGGCGGACGGGUGAGUAAUGUCUGGGAAACUGCCUGAUGGAGGGGGAUAACUACUGGAAACGGUAGCUAAUACCGCAUACCAUCAGAUGUGCCCAGAUGGGAUUAGCUUGUUGGUGGGGUAACGGCUCACCAAGGCGACGAUCCCUAGCUGGUCUGAGAGGAUGACCAGCCACACUGGAACUGAGACAAGGUACAGAAUCCGACGGAAGGCAGCAGGGGGUAGUAUUGAACAAUGGGCGAAAGCCUAAUGCAGACAGGCCGCGUGUAUGAAGAAGGCCUUCGGGUUGGAAAGUACUUUCAGCGGGGAGGCGUUACCCGCAGAAGAAGCACGGGCUAACUCCGUGGCAGAAGCCGCGGGAAUGC